UUAACUAAAACAUGUAUGGAGUUGGAACACUUGCCUAUGUUUGCCGCUAGGGGCGCUGUUCCAACUGCCUACAAAUUUGAGUUA
rnacentral:pre_miRNA from 1 species